rnacentral:rRNA from 1 species
GAUGAACGCUGGCGGCGUGCCUAAUACAUGCAAGUCGAGCGAACAGAUGAGGAGCUUGCUCCUCUGACGUUAGCGGCGGACGGGUGAGUAAGACGUGGAUAACCUACCUAUAAGACUGGGAUAACUUCGGGAAACCGGAGCUAAUACAGGAUAAUAUAUUUAACCGCAUGGUUCAAUAGUGAAAGACGGUUUUGCUGUCACUUAUAUAUGGAUCCGCACCGCAUUAGCUAGUUGGUAAGGUAACGGCUUCACAAGGCAACGAUGCGUAGCCGACCUGAGGGGGUGAUCGGCCACACUGGAACUGAGACACGGUCCAGACCAGUACGGGAGGCAGCGGAAGGGAAUCUUCCGCAAUGGGCGAAAGCCGGACGGAGCAACGCCGCGUGAGGUAUGAAGUUCUUCGGAUCGUAAAACUCUGUUAUUAUGGAAGAACAAAAGUGUAAGUAACUAUGCACGUCUUGACGGUACCUAAUCAGAAAGCCACGGCUAACUACGUG